GUGCUCACUUCAACAACACAUAUACUACAACUGCAACGACACAGAGAAGAUUAGUAUGGGCCCUGCGCAAGGAUGACACACAAAUUCGUGAAGUGUUCCAUAUUUUU